rnacentral:rRNA from 1 species
GGACUACCGGGGUAUCUAAUCCUGUUCGCUACCCACGCUUUCGCUCCUCAGCGUCAGGUAAGGCCCAGAGAGCCGCCUUCGCCACCGGUGUUCUUCCUGAUAUCUGCGCAUUCCACCGCUACACCAGGAGUUCCGCUCUCCCCUGCCUACCUCUAGUCUGCCCGUAUCGGAAGCAGGCUCGGGGUUAAGCCCCGAGUUUUCACUCCCGACGUGACGAACCGCCUACGAGCCCUUUACGCCCAAUAAUUCCGGACAACGCUCGGACCCUACGUAUUACCGCGGCUGCUGGCAC